UACGGAAGGCAGCGGAGGGGGAAUAUUGCACAAGUGGGCGAAAGCCUGAUGCAGCUAUGCCGCGUGUAUGAAGAAGGCCUUAGGGUUGUAAAGUACUUUCAUCGGGGAGGAAAAACGAAACUAAUAAUUUUAUUUCUUGACGUUACCCGAAAAGUAAGCACCGGCUAACUCCGUGCCAGCAGCCGCGGUAAUACGGAGGGUGCUAGCGUUAAGUCAGAAUUACUGGGCGUAAAGAGCACGUAGGUGGUUUUUUAAGUCAGAUGUGAAUCCCUGGGCUAACCUCGGAACUGCGAUUUUGAAACUGAAAUACUAGAGUAUCGUAGAGGGAGGUAGGAAUCGUAGGUGUAGCGGUGAAAUGCGUAGAAUAUCUGGAGGAAUACCUGUGGGCGAAACGGCGGGCCUCCUAAACCGGAACUACUGAACACUGAGGGU
rnacentral:rRNA from 1 species